ACCUGGUUGAUCCUGCCAGCAAUCAUAUGCUUGUCUCAAAGAUUAAGCCAUGCAUGUCUAAGUAUAAGUGUUUAUACAGCGAAACUGCGAAUGGCUCAUUAUAUCAGUUAUAAUCUACUCGAUUGAUUCUGUUACUUGGAUAACUGUAGGAAUUCUAGAGCUAAUACAUGCGAAAAGUCUGGAUCGGGGCAACUCGAGAAGGACGCAUUUACUAGACCAGAAACCAGUCAGGGGGCAACUCCUGAAACUAAGAUGAUCCAUAGUAAGUUUCAUGCGAAUCGAAGGCUUAAGUCUUCGAUGAUGCGAACGAGUUUCUGCCCUAUCAACUUUCAACCGUAGUGUAGGGGACUACGGUGGUUGCAACGGGUACGGGGAAUUAGGGUUCGAUUCCGGAGAGGCCGCCUGAGAAACGGCGACCACUUCCAAGGAAGGCAGCAGGCGCGUAAAUUAUCCAAUCCCAAUUCGGGGAGAUAGUGACAAGAAAUACCGGUGUAGGGCCUUAUGGGUCUUACGAUCGGAAUGAGUACAAUUUAAAAACAUUAACGAGGAACAAUUGGAGGGCAAGUCUGGUGCCAGCAGCCGCGGUAAUUCCAGCUCCAAGAGUGUAUAUUAAAGUUGUUGCGGUUAAAAAGCUCGUAGUUGGACUUAAAUUCAGAGUGAAGCGGUCCCUGUUAACUAAGGUUUUCAGGAUCAAGGCCGAUCAUUUCUGUCUUUUCUCUCGGAACGUCAAGCCUUCGGGCUGUUUCGUAGGGUUUACUUUGAAUAAAUUAGGGUGUUCAAAGCAGGCGUAAUCGCCUUGAAUACAUUAGCAUGGGAUAAUAAAAGAUGACCUUUGGUCUAUACUUUAUUGGUUUCUAAGGCCAAGGUAAUGAUUAAUAGGGACAGUUGGGGUCGCUUCUAUUCAGUGGUCAGAGGUGAAAUUCUAGGACCCACUGAGGAGAAACAAAUGCGAAGGCAUUCGACAAGGAUGUUUUCAUUAAUCAAGAACGAAAGUUGUGGGAUCGAAGAUGAUCAGAUACCGUCGUAGUCACAACCGUAAACUAUGUCGACUCAGGAUCCAAGGAUGUUACAUGGAUGACUCUUUGGGCACUGUGUGCGAAAGCAUAAGUAUUCAGACUCCGGGGGGAGUAUGGUCGCAAGGCUGAAACUUAAAGGAAUUGACGGAAGGGCACCACCAGGAGUGGAACCUGCGGCUUAAUUUGACUCAACACGGGGAAACUUACCCAGUCCGGACACAACGAGGAUUGACAGAUUGAUAGCUCUUUCUUGAUUUUGUGGAAGCCGGUGCAUGGCCGUUUUUAGUUGGUGGAGUGAUUUGUCUGGUUAAGUCCGAUAACGAACGAGACCUUAUUCUGCUAAAUAGUACUAUCAACAGGUUGAUCUUAGAUUUCUUAGGGCUUGCCCGAAGUUGUCGAGGGUCGGCGUUAAGUUGUUGGUAGACAUUUACUUCUUAGAGAGACUCUUGAUAUUUUAAUCAAUGGAAGAUUGAGGCAAAAACAGGUCUGUGAUGCCGCUCGAUGUCUGGGGCUGCACGCGCGUUACACUGAAGUGUUCAACAAGUAUUACAAAUUUUACCUGGCCCGAAGGGGUCUAGGCAAUCUCGAAAGCAUUUCGUGAUGGGGAUUGUGCUUUGAAACUAUCGCACAUGAACGAGGAAUUCCUAGUAAGGGUAGGUCAUCAACCUGCCCUGAUUACGUCCCUGCCCUUUGUACACACCGCCCGUCGCUUCUACCGAUCGAAUUGCUCGAUGAGGAUUCGGGAUGAGAGGGCUUCCUUUUGGCCGAAAGGUCAGAAGAACCUUUUCAGAACCUAUUCGAAUCUCGUAAUUUAGAGGAAGAAGAAGUCGUAACAAGGUAUCCGUAGGUGAACCUGCGGAAG
rnacentral:rRNA from 1 species